rnacentral:rRNA from 1 species
GAUGAACGCUGGCGGCGGGCCUAACACAUGCAAGUCGAGCGGACAGACGGGGCUUGUGCCUGGCUUACGCGGGGGGCGGGUGGGUGAGGAACAGGAGUAUGCCUGGCCGUGGGGGAUGACAUCAGGACGGGAGCGCUGAUACAGCAUACGUCCAGAGGGUGAACGGGGGGGUUCUUUGGAGAACACGGGAUUUGAUGACACUAAGCCGGAUUAGCUAGUUGGUGGGGUAACGGCGUACCAAGGCGACGAUCCGUAACUGGGCUGAGAGGGUGAUCAGCCACACUGGAACUGAGACACGGUCCAGACUCCUACGGGAGGCAGCAGUAGGGAAUAUUCGACAAUGGGCGAAAGCCUGACGCAGCCACGCCGCGUGUGUGAAGAAGGUCUUCGGAUCGUAAAGCUCUUUUAGUUGGGAGGAACAGCAGUAUGUGAAUCCCUGGCUGUCUUGACGUUACCUACUGAAUAAGCACCGGCUAACUACGUG